rnacentral:rRNA from 1 species
UACGUAUGGUGCAGGCGUUAUCCGGAUUUACUGGGUGUAAAGGGAGCGCAGGCGGCACGGCAAGCCUGAUGUGAAAGCCCGCGGCCCAACCGCGGGACUGCAUUGGGAACUACCGGGCUGGAGUGCCGGAGAGGUAGGCGGAAUUCCUAGUGUAGCGGUGAAAUGCGUAGAUAUUAGGAGGAACACCAGUGGCGAAGGCGGCCUACUGGACGGUGACUGACGCUGAGGCUCGAAAGCGUGGGGAGCAAACAGG